UACAGAGGUCCCGAGCGUUGCUCGGAAUCACUGGGCGUAAAGGGCGCGUAGGCGGGGAGGUAAGUCGGGUGUGAAAUCCCUCGGCCCAACUGAGGAACUGCGCCCGAGACUGCUUCUCUUGAGUCCCGGAGAGGAAGAUGGAAUUCCCGGUGUAGCGGUGAAAUGUGUAGAGAUCGGGAGGAACACCGGUGGCGAAGGCGGUCUUCUGGACGGUGACUGACGCUGAGGCGCGAAAGCGUGGGGAGCAAACGGG
rnacentral:rRNA from 1 species